rnacentral:misc_RNA from 1 species
AACGGUCUAUACCUGCGGUACCUGCGGAGGGAUCAUUACAGAGUUCAUGCCCUCACGGGUAGAUCUCCCACCCUUGAAUACUAUACCUUUGUUGCUUUGGCGGGCCGCUUUGGCUACUGGCUCUGGCUAGUAAGUGCCCGCCAAAGAACCCCAAAACUCUGAAUAUUAGUGUCGUCUGAGUACUAUAUAAUAGUUAAAACUUUUAGCAAUGGAUCUCU